rnacentral:rRNA from 1 species
GACGAACGCUGGCGGCGUGCCUAAUACAUGCAAGUCGAACGAAGCUGUUUUAACUGGUGCUUGCACCGACUUAAACAACUGAGUGGCGAACGGGUGAGUAACACGUGGGUAACAUGCCCCAAAGCGGGGGAUAACAUUUGGAAACAGAUGCUAAUACCGCAUAACCACAGAAACCACAUGGUUUCUGUGUCAAAGAUGGUUUCGGCUAUCACUUUGGGAUGGACCCGAUGCGUAUUAGCUAGUUGGUAAGGUAAUGGGUUACCAAGGCAAUGAUACGUAGCCGAACUGAGAGGUUGAUCGGCCACAUUGGGACUGAGACACGGCCCAAACUCCUACGGGAGGCAGCAGUAGGGAAUCUUCCACAAUGGACGAAAGUCUGAUGGAGCAACGCCGCGUGAGUGAAGAAGGUUUUCGGAUCGUAAAACUCUGUUGUCAGAGAAGAACGUGUGCGAGAGUAACUGCUCGUGCAGUGACGGUAUCUGGCCAGAAAGCCACGGCUAACUACGUGCCAGCAGCCGCAGUAA